GACGAACGCUGGCGGCGUGCUUAACACAUGCAAGUCGAACGCAGUGGCGAACGGGUGAGUAACGCGUAAUCAACCUGCCCUUCAGAGGGGGACAACAGUUGGAAACGACUGCUAAUACCGCAUACUGCAGGCGGGGAUUGCGUCUGAUUAGCUAGUUGGAGGGGUAACGGCCCAACAAGUCGAUGAUCAGUAGCGGGGCUGAGAGGAGUAUCCGCAACACUGGGACUGAGACACGGCCCAGACUCCGACGGGAGGCAGCAGUGGGGAAUUUUGGACAAUGGGCGCAAGCCUGAUCCAGCCAUGCCGCGUGUCUGAAGAAGGCCUUCGGGUUGUAAAGGACGUUUGUCAGGGAAGCGGUACCUGAAGAAUAAGCACCGGCUAACUACGUGCCAGCAGCCGCGGUAAUAC
rnacentral:rRNA from 1 species